rnacentral:rRNA from 1 species
AACGUACGCUGGCGGCACGCCUAACACAUGCAAGUCGAACGAAGUAGCAAUACUUAGUGGCAGACGGGUGAGUAACAUGUAGGUAUCUACCCUUUGGCCUGGAAUAACACGAGGAAACUUGUGCUAAUACCGGAUAAGUCUUUACGGAGAAAGCUUUAUGCACCAUUGGAUGAGCCUGCACUUGAUUAGUUUGUUGGUGGGGUAAUGGCCUACCAAGACUGUGAUCAAUAGCUGAUUGAGAGGAUGAUCAGCCACAUUGGGACUGAGACACGGCCCAAAACUCCUACGGGAGGCGAGCAGUGGGGAAUCUUGCACAAUGGAGGAAACUCUGAUGCAGCGAUGCCGCGUGAGUG